rnacentral:lncRNA from 1 species
AUCUGUACAAUAUCUGUCUUAUUCAUCACUUCCCCCUUCAAGCUACACAGAAAGGGUGCUCAGCAAAUAUUUGUCAAAUGACUGAAAACAUUUAUGUUUGAUGUGUUCAAGACCAUGUCAUGACCCACUGGAAGAGCAGCAGAAUGGGAACAGAGGAACCUGGCUUUGAGUCUCAAGUCUACGGAUUUUAAAGGAGCUCAGACACAGAUGGAAACAGGAGCCAGUAGAGACGAGGUCUCGCUAUGUGGCUCAAGCUGGUCUCAAACUCCCGGAUUCAAGCGAUGUUCCAGCCUUGCCUUUCUAAAGCACUAAGAUUACAGCUGUGAACGACCGCACCAGCUCCAUGAGGAGAAUUUGUGAGAAGAGCUCCUUAAUGGAUCAAGCCUACACUUCUACCUCACCCCAUCCUCGCCACAAAUCUAGGAGAAAGAGGCCAUCAGGAUCCUUCUCUAGAAAAGGGUCUGGAAAGUUGAAAGACGCUGGGCAGGCAGGAUGUGUUCGCGCCUUUCCUCUUAGGGCUGAAGAGAGACAAAGAGAGCAGAGACUCAAGGAGAGCAGAGGCCUAAGGGCUCCUGGAAGACACAGGAAGCUGGCACGCCCUCCCGGCUUCUGCUUUGGGGGUGUGGUGGGGUUAAUUCAGCAGCCACAUGUGUGAGCCGUGCUGGAGGCUCUGGACUAAGGUGACAUUCUGAACUGAUGCAGGGAGCCUUUGGUUCUAGCUCCGGGUUGCUGCCCCUCACUUUCCACCGAUGGGAGCAAAGUGGGCUCUCACGUCUGCUGAGGGGCUAUUGAGAAGAGUGAAGUUUAAAUCAGAGAGUGCGACACAGUCACACUGAUUCUGAAAAAGGCACAAAACAAAAGGCUCAGGCCCUUAGAAGCUUCCUCCUGGGGCUGAUUUUAAGAAACAAAUCUGAAGAAGGAAUAAAAAUUCUGCAUGCA